CGCCACCAUUUUGGCAACCAGGAAGGGACCUCCAAAGCGGGAGAAAGCAUUUAUGGUGAGGAGAAAAGCAGCUGGUAUCACACUCUACCCAAGUCCCAAAAGCAGGUUCACAUAACUCCUGUCUUCAUUAUCUGAUAUCCGUAUGAAGAAUGUAAGAUAGAAAAAAACAUUAGCAUUUGAGAGGAUUGAAAGAGAAGCAUUCUCAGCAGAGCCAAGAUUCACUUAGAACAAAAGGUCUGCAGGUGUACCCAACAGCUCCGAAGAGACAGCGACCAUCAAGAACAGGCCAAGAUGACGAUGGCAGUUUUGUCGAAAAGAGAAGGGGGAAAUGUGGGGAAAAGCAAGAGAGAUCAGAUUGUUACUGUGUCUGUGUAGAAAGAAGUAGACAUAGGAGACUCCAUUUUCUUAUGUACUAGGAGAAAUUCUUCUGCCUUGAGAUUCUGUUAAUCUAUGACCUUACCUCCAACCCCGUGCUCUCUGAAACAUGUGCUGUGUCAACUCAGAGUUGAAUGGAUUAAGGGCAGUGCAAGAUGUGCUUUGUUAAACAGAUGCUUGAAGGCAGCAUGCUCCUUAAGAGUCAUCACCAGGACUUUCUUAUAAGCUAAUUAACAAAUUUGUACAUGGUUAACAAUUGUUUACAUUAAAUUCUAUUGGUAAAGUAA